rnacentral:rRNA from 1 species
AGCAGCCGCGGUAAUUCCAGCUCCAAUAGCGUGUAUUAAAGUUGCUGCAGUUAAAAAGCUCGUAGUUGAAUUUCGGGACCGAUAUAUCGGUCGUGCCUCGGUACGUACUGGUAUUUUCGGUUUCUACCUUCUGACGAACCUUGAUGUCAUUAAUUUGGUGUCUUGGGAAAUCAGGACUGUUACUUUGAAAAAAUUAGAGUGUUUAAAGCAGGCUCACGCUUGAAUACAUUAGCAUGGAAUAAUGAAAUAGGACGUUUGAUUCUAUUUUGUUGGUUUCUAGGAUCGACGUAAUGAUUAAUAGGGAUAGUUGGGGGCAUUAGUAUUCAAUUGUCAGAGGUGAAAUUCUUGGAUUUAUUGAAGACUAACUACUGCGAAAGCAUUUGCCAAGGAUGUUUUCAUUAAUCAAGAACGAAAGUUAGGGGAUCGAAGACGAUCAGAUACCGUCGUAGUCUUAACCAUAAACUAUGCCGACUAGGGAUCGGAUGAUGUUAAUUUUUUAAUGACUCAUUCGGCGCCUUAC